UAGUUUUUGACAACUUUUAAAUUUCCAGGAU
rnacentral:piRNA from 1 species